UACAGAGGGGGCAAGCGUUAUUCGGAAUUAUUGGGCGUAAAGGGCGCGUAGGCGGCCUGGCAAGUGGAUGGUGAAAUCCCUCGGCUUAACCGAGGAACUGCCAUCCAGACUGCUUGGCUUGAGACCGGGAGAGGUGAGUGGAAUUCCCAGUGUAGCGGUGAAAUGCGUAGAUAUUGGGAGGAACACCAGUGGCGAAGGCGGCUCACUGGACCGGUACUGACGCUGAGGCGCGAAAGCGUGGGGAGCGGAACAGG
rnacentral:rRNA from 1 species